rnacentral:rRNA from 1 species
GGGUUGUGAGGUUAAGCGACUAAGCGUACACGGUGGAUGCCCUGGCAGUCAGAGGCGAUGAAGGACGUGCUAAUCUGCGAUAAGCGUCGGUGAGGUGAUAUGAACCGUUAUAACCGGCGAUUUCCGAAUGGGGAAACCCAGUGUGUUUCGACACACUAUCAUUAACUGAAUCCAUAGGUUAAUGAGGCGAACCGGGGGAACUGAAACAUCUAAGUACCCCGAGGAAAAGAAAUCAACCGAGAUUCCCCCAGUAGCGGCGAGCGAACGGGGAGGAGCCCAGAGCCUGAAUCAGUGUGUGUGUUAGUGGAAGCGUCUGGAAAGGCGUGCGAUACAGGGUGACAGCCCCGUACACAAAAAUGCACAUAUUGUGAGCUCGAUGAGUAGGGCGGGACACGUGGUAUCCUGUCUGAAUAUGGGGGGACCAUCCUCCAAGGCUAAAUACUCCUGACUGACCGAUAGUGAACCAGUACCGUGAGGGAAAGGCGAAAAGAACCCCGGCGAGGGGAGUGAAAAAGAACCUGAAACCGUGUACGUACAAGCAGUGGGAGCCUCUUAAUGGGGUGACUGCGUACCUUUUGUAUAAUGGGUCAGCGACUUAUAUUCUGUAGCAAGGUUAACCGAAUAGGGGAGCCGAAGGGAAACCGAGUCUUAACUGGGCGUUAAGUUGCAGGGUAUAGACCCGAAACCCGGUGAUCUAGCCAUGGGCAGGUUGAAGGUUGGGUAACACUAACUGGAGGACCGAACCGACUAAUGUUGAAAAAUUAGCGGAUGACUUGUGGCUGGGGGUGAAAGGCCAAUCAAACCGGGAGAUAGCUGGUUCUCCCCGAAAGCUAUUUAGGUAGCGCCUCGUGAAUUCAUCUCCGGGGGUAGAGCACUGUUUCGGCAAGGGGGUCAUCCCGACUUACCAACCCGAUGCAAACUGCGAAUACCGGAGAAUGUUAUCACGGGAGACACACGGCGGGUGCUAACGUCCGUCGUGAAGAGGGAAACAACCCAGACCGCCAGCUAAGGUCCCAAAGUCAUGGUUAAGUGGGAAACGAUGUGGGAAGGCCCAGACAGCCAGGAUGUUGGCUUAGAAGCAGCCAUCAUUUAAAGAAAGCGUAAUAGCUCACUGGUCGAGUCGGCCUGCGCGGAAGAUGUAACGGGGCUAAACCAUGCACCGAAGCUGCGGCAGCGACACUAUGUGUUGUUGGGUAGGGGAGCGUUCUGUAAGCCUGUGAAGGUGGCCUGUGAGGGUUGCUGGAGGUAUCAGAAGUGCGAAUGCUGACAUAAGUAACGAUAAAGCGGGUGAAAAGCCCGCUCGCCGGAAGACCAAGGGUUCCUGUCCAACGUUAAUCGGGGCAGGGUGAGUCGACCCCUAAGGCGAGGCCGAAAGGCGUAGUCGAUGGGAAACAGGUUAAUAUUCCUGUACUUGGUGUUACUGCGAAGGGGGGACGGAGAAGGCUAUGUUGGCCGGGCGACGGUUGUCCCGGUUUAAGCGUGUAGGCUGGUUUUCCAGGCAAAUCCGGAAAACCAAGGCUGAGGCGUGAUGACGAGGCACUACGGUGCUGAAGCGACAAAUGCCCUGCUUCCAGGAAAAGCCUCUAAGCAUCAGGUAACAUCAAAUCGUACCCCAAACCGACACAGGUGGUCAGGUAGAGAAUACCAAGGCGCUUGAGAGAACUCGGGUGAAGGAACUAGGCAAAAUGGUGCCGUAACUUCGGGAGAAGGCACGCUGAUAUGUAGGUGAAGCGACUUGCUCGUGGAGCUGAAAUCAGUCGAAGAUACCAGCUGGCUGCAACUGUUUAUUAAAAACACAGCACUGUGCAAACACGAAAGUGGACGUAUACGGUGUGACGCCUGCCCGGUGCCGGAAGGUUAAUUGAUGGGGUUAGCGGUAACGCGAAGCUCUUGAUCGAAGCCCCGGUAAACGGCGGCCGUAACUAUAACGGUCCUAAGGUAGCGAAAUUCCUUGUCGGGUAAGUUCCGACCUGCACGAAUGGCGUAAUGAUGGCCAGGCUGUCUCCACCCGAGACUCAGUGAAAUUGAACUCGCUGUGAAGAUGCAGUGUACCCGCGGCAAGACGGAAAGACCCCGUGAACCUUUACUAUAGCUUGACACUGAACAUUGAGCCUUGAUGUGUAGGAUAGGUGGGAGGCUUUGAAGUGUGGACGCCAGUCUGCAUGGAGCCGACCUUGAAAUACCACCCUUUAAUGUUUGAUGUUCUAACGUUGGCCCGUAAUCCGGGUUGCGGACAGUGUCUGGUGGGUAGUUUGACUGGGGCGGUCUCCUCCUAAAGAGUAACGGAGGAGCACGAAGGUUGGCUAAUCCUGGUCGGACAUCAGGAGGUUAGUGCAAUGGCAUAAGCCAGCUUGACUGCGAGCGUGACGGCGCGAGCAGGUGCGAAAGCAGGUCAUAGUGAUCCGGUGGUUCUGAAUGGAAGGGCCAUCGCUCAACGGAUAAAAGGUACUCCGGGGAUAACAGGCUGAUACCGCCCAAGAGUUCAUAUCGACGGCGGUGUUUGGCACCUCGAUGUCGGCUCAUCACAUCCUGGGGCUGAAGUAGGUCCCAAGGGUAUGGCUGUUCGCCAUUUAAAGUGGUACGCGAGCUGGGUUUAGAACGUCGUGAGACAGUUCGGUCCCUAUCUGCCGUGG